rnacentral:rRNA from 1 species
CCUACGGGAGGCUGCAGUGGGGAAUAUUGGACAAUGGGCGAAAGCCUGAUCCAGCCAUGCCGCGUGUGUGAAGAAGGCCUUCGGGUUGUAAAGCACUUUCAGUGGGGAAGAAAGCCUUGGGGCUAAUACCCUCGAGGAAGGACAUCACCCACAGAAGAAGCACCGGCUAACUCCGUGCCAGCAACCGCGGUAAUACGGAGGGUGCGAGCGUUAAUCGGAAUUACUGGGCGUAAAGCGCGCGUAGGCGGUCUGAUAAGCCGGUUGUGAAAGCCCCGGGCUCAACCUGGGAACGGCAUCCGGAACUGUCAGGCUAGAGUGCAGGAGAGGAAGGUAGAAUUCCCGGUGUAGCGGUGAAAUGCGUAGAGAUCGGGAGGAAUACCAGUGGCGAAGGCGGCCUUCUGGACUGACACUGACGCUGAGGUGCGAAAGCGUGGGUAGCAAACAGGAUUAGAUACCCGAGUCGUC